CAGUCGCCGCGGUAAUACGAAGGGGGCUAGCGUUGUUCGGAUUUACUGGGCGUAAAGGGUGCGUAGGCGGAUUGUUAAGUCAGGGGUGAAAUCCCGAGGCUCAACCUCGGAACUGCCUUUGAUACUGGCGAUCUUGAGUCCGGGAGAGGUGAGUGGAACUGCGAGUGUAGAGGUGAAAUUCGUAGAUAUUCGCAAGAACACCGGUGGCGAAGGCGGCUCACUGGCCCGGAACUGACGCUGAGGCACGAAAGCGUGGGGAGCAAACAGGAUUAGAUACCCCUGUAGUCCCUGUCUCUUAUAC
rnacentral:rRNA from 1 species